rnacentral:rRNA from 1 species
AUUGAACGCUGGCGGCAUGCCUUACACAUGCAAGUCGAACGGUAACAGGUCUUCGGGUGCUGACGAGUGGCGAACGGGUGAGUAAUACAUCGGAACGUGCCUAGUAGUGGGGGAUAACUACUCGAAAGAGUGGCUAAUACCGCAUGAGAUCUACGGAUGAAAGCAGGGGAUCGCAAGACCUUGUGCUACUAGAGCGGCCGAUGGCAGAUUAGGUAGUUGGUGGGAUAAAAGCUUCCCAAGCCGACGAUCUGUAGCUGGUCUGAGAGGACGAUCAGCCACAGUCGGAGUGAGACACGCGCCAGACUCCUACGGGAGGCAGCAGUGGGGAAUUGUGGACAAUGGGAGAAAGCCUGAUCCAGCAAUGCCGCGUGCAGGAUGAAGGCCUUCGGGUUGUAAACUGCUUUUGUACGGAACGAAAAGCCCUGGGUUAAUACCCUGGGGUCAUGACGGUACCGUAAGAAUAAGCACCGGCUAACUACGUGCCAGCCGCCGCCGUAA